rnacentral:tRNA from 1 species
GUCUUUAAAGAAUAAUAGUUAUUCGUCGGUCUUAGGAACCGAAGACUCUCAGUGCAACUCUGUGUGAAGACU